rnacentral:rRNA from 1 species
GACGAACGCUGGCGGCGUGCUUAACACAUGCAAGUCGAACGGAAAGGCCCUGCUUUUGUGGGGUGCUCGAGUGGCGAACGGGUGAGUAACACGUUAGUAACCUGCCCUUGACUUUGGGAUAACUUCAGGAAACUGGGGCUAAUACCGGAUAGGAGCUCCUGCUGCAUGGUGUGGGUUGGAAAGUUUCGGCGGUUGGGGAUGGACUCGCGGCUUAUCAGCUUGUUGGUGGGGUAGUGGCUUACCAAGGCUUUGACGGGUAGCCGGCCUGAGAGGGUGACCGGCCACAUUGGGACUGAGAUACGGCCCAGACUCCUACGGGAGGCAGCAGUGGGGAAUAUUGCAAAAUGGGCGGAAGCCUGAUGCAGCAACGCCGCGUGCGGGAUGACGGCCUUCGGGUUGUAAACCGCUUUCGCCUGUGACGAAGCGUGAGUGACGGUAAUGGGUAAAGAAGAACCGGCUAACUACGUG